rnacentral:rRNA from 1 species
CCUACGGGAGGCAGCAGUGGGGAAUAUUGGACAAUGGGGGGAACCCUGAUCCAGCCAUGCCGCGUGUGUGAAGAAGGCCCUCGGGUUGUAAAGCACUUUCAGUGAGGAAGAACGCCUGGUGGUUAAUACCCAUCAGGAAAGACAUCACUCACAGAAGAAGCACCGGCUAACUCCGUGCCAGCAGCCGCGGUAAUACGGAGGGUGCGAGCGUUAAUCGGAAUUACUGGGCGUAAAGCGCGCGUUGGUGGCUUGAUAAGCCGGUUGUGAAAGCCCCGGGCUCAACCUGGGAACGGCAUCCGGAACUGUCAAGCUAGAGUGCAGGAGAGGAAGGUAGAAUUCCCGGUGUAGCGGUGAAAUGCGUAGAGAUCGGGAGGAAUACCAGUGGCGAAGGCGGCCUUCUGGACUGACACUGACACUGAGGUGCGAAAGCGUGGGUAGCAAACAGGAUUAGAUACCCUUGUAGUC